AUGUGUGUACCAAAAAAUUAAGGAGGCAUGGGCUUCCAAGACAUACAUUGUUUCAACUUGGCUUUGUUAGCCAAACAAGCAUGGCGUCUUAUUGAUAAACCGGAGUCUUUAUGUGCCACUAUCUUGAGAACUAAGUAUUUCCCUGAUGGCGACUUGAUGAGUGCAAGUUUAAAGAAAGGUUCGUCCUUUACUUGGCAAAGCAUUUUUGCGGGAGUU
rnacentral:rRNA from 1 species